rnacentral:rRNA from 1 species
UACGAAGGGGGCUAGCGUUGUUCGGAUUUACUGGGCGUAAAGCGCACGUAGGCGGAUCGUUAAGUCGGGGGUGGAAAUCCUGGAGCUCAACUCCAGAACUGCCUUCGAUACUGGCGAUCUCGAGUCCGGAAGAGGUGAGUGGAACUCCUAGUGUAGAGGUGGAAUUCGUAGAUAUUAGGAAGAACACCGGUGGCGAAGGCGGCUCACUGGUCCGGUACUGACGCUGAGGUGGCGAAAGCGAUGGGGAGCAAAC